CUCCGUGCCAGCAGCCGCGGUAAUACGGAGGGUGCGAGUACGUUAAGUCGGAAUUACGUGGGACGUAAAGCGCAUGCAGGCGGCCUAGUUAAGUCAGAUGUAGAAAACGGCCCGGGGACCUUUAACCGUACGGUAAAGUUGCUAUUUAGAAACGUGGCAGGCUAGAGUCUUGUAGAGGGGGUAGAAUUUCAGGUGUAGCGGUGAAAUGCGUAGAGAUCUGAAGGAAUACCAGUGGCGAAGGCGGCCCCCUGGACAAAGACUGACGCUCAGAUGCGAAAGCGUGGGGAGCAAACAGGAUUAGAUACCCUGGUAG
rnacentral:rRNA from 1 species